CCGAGUUUACAACUCCCAAACCCAAUGUGAACCAUACCAAACUGUUGCCUCGGCGGGGUCACGCCCCGGGUGCGUCGCAGCCCCGGAACCAGGCGCCCGCCGGAGGGACCAACCAACUCUUUCUGUAGUCCCCUCGCGGACGUUAUUUCUUACAGCUCUGAGCAAAAAUUCAAAAUGAAUCA
rnacentral:misc_RNA from 1 species